rnacentral:rRNA from 1 species
GACGAACGCUGGCGGCGUGCUUAACACAUGCAAGUCGAACGGAAAGGCCCUGCUUUUGUGGGGUGCUCGAGUGGCGAACGGGUGAGUAACACGUGAGUAACCUGCCCUUGACUUUGGGAUAACUUCAGGAAACUGGGGCUAAUACCGGAUAGGAGCUCCUGCUGCAUGGUGGGGGUUGGAAAGUUUCGGCGGUUGGGGAUGGACUCGCGGCUUAUCAGCUUGUUGGUGGGGUAGUGGCUUACCAAGGCUUUGACGGGUAGCCGGCCUGAGAGGGUGACCGGCGACAUUGGGACUGAGAUACGGCCCAGACUCCUACGGGAGGCAGCAGUGGGGAGUAUUGCACAAUGGGCGGAAGCCUGAUGCAGCAACGCCGCGUGCGGGAUGACGGCCUUCGGGUUGUAAACCGCUUUCGCCUGUGACGAAGCGUGAGUGACGGUAAUGGGUGAAGAAGCACCGGCUAACUACGUG